GUGCCAGCCGCCGCGGUAAUACGUAUGGUGCGAACGUUGUUCGGAAUCACUGGGCUUAAAGCGGGCGUAGGCGGUUCGGUAAGUCCGUUGUGAAAGCCCUCGGCUCAACCGAGGAACUGCAACGGAUACUGCCGGGCUAGAGUGCAGGAGGGGAGAGUGGAAUUCCUGGUGGAGCGGUGAAAUGCGUAGAUAUCAGGAGGAACGCCGGUGGCGAAAGCGACUCUCUGGCCUGUUACUGACGCUGAGGCCCGAAAGCUAGGGGAGCAAACGGGAUUAGAUACCCCGGUAGACCUAGCCCUAAACGAUGGGCACUAGGUAGAGGGCGUUCCGAUACGUUCUCUGCCGAAGCUAACGUAAUUAGUGCCCCGCCUGGGGAGUAUAGUCGCAAGGCUAAA
rnacentral:rRNA from 1 species